GACCUCGUAGCUCAGUUGAUAGAGCAUUGGACUAGCAAACCAAAGGUCGCGGGUUCGAUUACCACCGUGGUUC
rnacentral:tRNA from 1 species